UUUAAAACAUCAAAUGCAGAUCUGACACUGACACCGGUAACAGUUAGUGCGGAAAAACCUUUUUGGCUGAUCAAUCUCAUUCAACUAAGAUGUGGACAACAAUCUGUCUUAGUUCAAUAUUUCUUCUCUAUCACAUUAUAAAUACAACAGAGUUAAAGAACGGAGUGACUUUCAACAAGCCUGAGAUGAAAUUGACUGACCCGAAAAAAGCAG